GCCAAGCUAAAGUUAGACUAGCUGGCUAGCUAGCCUAGCUAACUAAAAGUGGGGGGAGAAAAACUCAGUGAUGCUUUCUGAAAAGAAGAGAGAGAGACGACACUGCCACAUAGUAAAGGCCAAUUUAGGAAUUGAAUUAAAAUAGGAGCAACUUGAAGCAUUUCGAGUCUUUAUGUGAGGGGAGGAUCUAUUAGCGGUCUUGCCAACAUGCUUUGGGGAAAACCUCAUUUACCAGCUAGUUAGGUAGUUCUAGUCUUCAGGAAGCAAGGAAAACAGCCUCCAAUUCUGACAGUUGUGUCCCUGCUAAAGGCUUUGGUGGACAGAAGACAAAAAAAAUCCUGUGCUACAGACCGCUAUAUCGUCCGCUAACACAGGACUAGUGUACUUUUGUGAUUUUUUUUUACAUAUAUAUUAUUUUUUAUCUGAUUUCUCAGGGGGUGCUGCAGCACCCUCAGCACCCGUACUUCCGGCAGCUAUGCCUAGAACUGUACUUCGAUGGUAUAGAAUGACUGACGGAUACAUGUAACGUCGGAAUGGAAAUUACAGUGAUGGACACACUAGCGAAUGAUUGAUUGAAAGCUUUGUAUUUGUACAAACGUAAUGAGACGCAGAGAAGAUGAAGAAGGUAGUACCUGCAAGAGGGUGUUGUCAUGACAAAGGAAAAGCUCAGAGACCCAAGCAAGCCGUCCACCACUGGCAUACAAGGUGCACACCUGCUGGAGUUCGACAGGUCAUUCACCCUCCUUAGGGUCUCAAGUUGGAAAAACUCAUAGCACAGAAUCAGAACCAGAAUCAUGCUACUAUAAGACUGAACAAGAAUUGUUCCACUGCACCAGGAUACAGAGAGGGAUGAAAUACACCUUCAAUUGAUAUCUUCACUGAGUCCACACCUUCACAUUUCACAUAGUCAUUCCAUGUUUGCUUCAUGCAUUAAAAUAAA